rnacentral:tRNA from 1 species
GCCCAGUUGGCUCAGUUGGUAGAGCAUGCAACUCUUGAUCUCAGGGUUGUGAGUUCGAGCCCCAUGUUGGGUG